rnacentral:lncRNA from 1 species
AAAGCUGUACCGUGGCGAGGAGGACGAUGACGAGUGAGUCCGCCAUAGCAUAAUAACACUUCUCAGCAUCACCAGGAGUAUCUAGAAGUAUAUUUUAUCUAAACUUGUACUUACUACUAAAUCAGUGCAUCAGUGCAGGGCACUUAUUUUCGGACCAAGGUAGUAGUAGUGUUGAAGGGGAGAAUAGAGAAGGAUAGGUAGAAUAGUUGUUGACUUCUUGUAUUGCUUGAGCCUCGUGGGCAUAUAUAUAUAUAGGAGUACAUGAUCAUCUUAAAGUACAAAGGCAGGAACAAAUCCUAGUCUAUCUAUGCUUUCCUAAACAAUCACGUUACUCAACAUCUCCCCGCACUCACAACGGUAACGACGCAGACAGUGAGACUGAAGAAGAAUCCGAAGGUAAGCCGACGGUCAUCCCCACACAGUCGUAACAGUCGAUGCAUCGUGGAAGUUGUGGCUGGAGUGGAAACCGACGAAGUUGCUCAAGCAAGACGGUAGCCUUCGUGCGUUGGUCCAGCUGGUAGCCGAGAGCGUAGGGUGGUGUAGCCGUGGUCGAGGUAGCUGUGCGGAGAACGCCGUGGUCGAUGUCGAGUCGGGGUAGCCGGUGUCGAGGAAGUCGCCGCGGGCGCAAGGAGGCGCCGAGUUAGUCAUGGACCCAGUGGUGUCGAAGUAGUGGUGCGCCAGGAAGAAGACGUAGUUGAGACGCGUCGCGCUGAGUUUUGCCAAGCCCUCCCUCCUGCGCCUUGGGCCUCUCGUGGGAGGCGCACCAGCCCACUUUGGGCUGGUUGCCAUCCCCCUUUUGGCCCAUGGUACCUCUUGGGCCUGGUGGCCCCUCCCGGUGGACCCCCGAGAUCAUUUUCGGUGGUCUCGGUGGUCCCGGUACGCUACCGGUGACGCCCGAAACAUUUCCAGUGUCCAAAACCAUCCAUCCUAUAUAUCAAUCUUUACCUUCGGACCAUUCCGGAGCUCCUCGUGACGUCCGGGAUCUCAUCCGAGACUCCGAACAACUUUCGGUAACCUCGUAUAACAUUUCCCUAUAACCCUAGCGUCAUCGAACCUUAAGUGUGUAGACCCUACGGGUUCGGGAAGCAUGCAGACAUGACCGAGACGCUCUCCGGCCAAUAACCAUCAGCGGUAUCUGGAUACCCAUGGUGGCUCCCACGCGUUCCAUGAUGAUCUCAUCGGAUGAACCACGAUGUCAAGGAUUCAAUCAAUCCCGUAUAUAAUUCCCUUUGUCUGUCGGUAUAGAACUUGCCCGAGAUUCGAUCGUCGGUAUACCUAUACCUUGUUCAAUCUCGUUACCGGUAAGUCUCUUUACUCGUUCCGUAGCACGUCAUCAUGUGACUAACUCCUUAGUCACAUUGAGCUCAUGAUAAUGUUCUACCGAGUGGGCCUAGAGAUACCUCUCCGUCACACGGAGUGACAAAUCUCGAUCUCGAUUCGUACCAACCCAACAAACACUUUCAGAGGUACCUGUAGUGCACCUUUAUAGUCAUCCAGUUACGUUGUGACGUUUGAUACACCCAAAGCACUCCUACGGUAUCCGGGAGUUGCACAAUCGCACGGUCGAAGGAAAAGACACUUGACAUUAGAAAAGCUUUAGCAUACGAACAAUACGAUCUAGUGCUAUGCUUAGGAUUGAGUCUUGUCCAUCACAUCAUUCUCCCAAUGAUGUGAUCCCGUUAUCAAUGACAUCUAAUGCCCAUGAUCAAGAAACCAUGAUCAUCUAUUGAUCAAUGAGAUAGCCAACUAGAGGCUUGCUAGGGACACAUUGUGAUCUAUUUAUUCACACAUGUAUUACUGUUUACCUGUUAAUACAAUUAUAGCAUGAACAAUAGACGAUUAUCAUGAACAAGGAAAUAUGAUAAUAACCAUUUUAUUAUUGCCUCUAGGACAUAUUUCCAACAAUCUCCCACUUGCACUAGAGUCAAUAAUCUAGUUACAUUAUGAUGUAUAAUGUAUCGAACACCCAUUGCAUUAUGGUGUUGAUCGUGUUUUGCUCGAGGAAGAGGUUUAGUCAACGGGCCUGCAACAUUCAGAUCCGUGUGUACUUUACAAAUAUCUAUUACUCCACUCUGGACAUGGUCGUGGAUGGAGUUGUAGCGGCGCUUGAUGUGCUUGGUCUUCCGGUGAAACCUGGGCUCCUUGGCUAUGGCAAUGGCCCCAGUGUUAUCACAGAAGAGCGUCAUUGGACUCGACGCGUUUGGAACCACUCCAAGGUCGGUGAUGAGCUCCUUCAUCCAAGGCCACGGGGGAAAUCCUUUGCAUAUUUGCCUAGGAAGUCCCUUAAGGCGUAGCCGUAGCAGAAGGAUUCCUGGUGCCGUUGCUGAGGAGUAUCAAGCAACACUCCUAUUUCUGACGCCGUUGGAAGGUCUUUUGUUGCAGUAGCACCGGCGGAGAUCGACGGGCGUGUCGGCUUGUGACCGGCGGCAUUGAGUGGCCGCCGGGUUUGCGCGGGGAUGCCCGGUUGAAGGAGAAGUCGGGCUGCGCCGAUGUUGGAGUAGAUUCGUGGUGGUCGACGGCGGCGGCGGACGACGCAAACCGAUCUUAGAUCGAAAAACCAAAAAGAAAGAGCGCGAUCAAAAGACCGACAUGAGAGAGAAGACCCGGAUCAAGAGAUCGAGAAAAAAGACUCUCUAGGACACCCGGUCAACAGCACCGAUGGACGAACCCUAGGUACGGCGACGUGGCCCCCGACGGCGGUCAUGGAGGCCAACCGCACCGAGGGCGGCGCGCGGGGCGAAAGCGGUGGCGGCGGCUAGGUCAAGAAACUUGCGGCACAUACCAUGUUGAAGGGGGGAAUAGAGAAGGAUAGGUAGAAUAGUUG